GGUUUCACGCAGACACAUGGAGCAGCCUCGGGAGCGGAUAAAAGAGCAGGAGGGAAGGGAGGGACGGGCUUUCCGGCGGCCAGGGCGUGCCUGUGUCUGGCAGCAGGUCUCUGUAAAUCAUCCCUCGGCUUGAAGAGGGCGCCGGGACGGUUACAGGAUCUUUGACGUCCCCUCGGCGGCGGAGGGGAGACUUUACCUCUUUGUCUUUAACGUGAUGGAAAGAAAAGACAAGAAAACCCGCGACGCCUCUGUCAGGCUAGGCUCCGGGGAAAUGACCCCCAGUGCACCGGGAUGGAGGCUCAACAUCAAGCCUGGGACAAGAAUCGCCAGCGAGGUUUCUUCCAUCUUUCUUUGAAGCAACUGGUGCUGGUCACUCUUGGAGAGAGACUCCUGGACUAGAUGGACCCACUGGUCUGGUUCUGUAUGACAAUUCCUAUGUUCCUGAAAACAAUGAAUCAUGAAAAAUAGAAAUCUGGAGGAAUUUUAUAAAAAUCUGAAGGUAUUAAGAGAGAUUCACUCUCAUUUCUGAGAAGAUUAGAAUAUACUGUUCGUUUACCCAGGUAAAGAACUUACUUCUUUAAUGUCCAGAGAUUAAAGAACUUGGAAGACUGGUUGGAAAGAAGCAGGGAGACUCCACCCACCUGUGUGAGAAACAGGGACACCUACCCACUGGAUUUUCUUUGUCUUCAAGUAAAAACUUGUGUAAAUAAUCCAGAAUUCUCACUCCUGAGAGAGCUACAGAAGUUUUUGAGAAACCUUAGUUCUUUUAACAUUGUUUUUGGAAGGUAUCAGAUAUAAUUGCUGCAAGCAUGCUGAGUAGUUAUAAGAUUCAUGAAGGGUUAUUAUUUACAGAGGCACCCCAGCGUGUGCUAGAUACUUUACAGACAUCUAGAAUGAUAUGCUCUUUGGGGCAUGAGGAAUGUUGUAAAGAAAACUUGUUGGGAGGGAAUGGUAUUGGAUUGGCAUUUGAUGUCAGCUCACUAUCCGAAGAGUGUACAGAUCACUAGUGCAGGCCAGAAAGUAGGGUUUUCCUCCCUCUGCAGUAAAUUUUCAGUUUUUCAACAAAAUCACAGUUUUACUUGAAAAUCAGACACUUUCCAUGAAAAUGUUAAUUUGGUCAAAAACCCAAUAUUCCAUCAAAACCCAGAAAAAUUUUGACCAAUCCACUCAUUUUGACUCAGUUCUGAAAACUUCCUUGUCUUGUGCCUAGUUAGUGUAUACCACAGAACUGAUCCAGGAGCAUCUUAUUUGGUGAAACAAAAGCACAGAGCUUUCUCAUUCACUGGUUGAGUUUUAGGUGGCCACUGUGUUAUCCCGAGCCAUGUUCCUAAAGUUGACAUUUGUGACAGACAUGACAAUAUCCUGCAAUCUGCAGGACAAAUCUUAUUGAAUUAAGUUAAACCUGUAUGUAUUGCCAUGGGGAAGGGGGAUGUUAGCCCCUCCAGGAGCUAAGAACAAUGGGAGGUAGCUAGGCACAUUCACUCAGGUUGUAACAGCUCCAGAGAGCUACCGCUUCUGAGGAGACUCGCUUAUACUACUUCUGACUGAAUUCUCCAGGGAGGGGAGCAACAGACAAAGAAAGGGUUUUGGUUAAAUAGCCUGAGUUAAAACUGACUUGGUGUCUUCUUUGUAAACCAGCAAACAGACAGGACCUGUGGUCCAAGAAGGAGGGUGAAAAUCCUUAGGGAAGGGUUGAUAGGUCUUUCACCUAUUGAGGUCCCUGAAGACUUGGGAACUAGUUCAGUGAUGAAGCAGUGAUGAACACAUUACCACAGCAAAAACCUCUGUGUGGGGUUUGAAGGACUAGUCACCAACCAGAGCCCUUCUUGGAGCGAGGGGUGAUCUCUGAUAAGCUUAUUAGCAUGCAUGUAGGUUCUUUUAUUGUUUUGAAUAUGUUUUCUCUGUAAUGCUUUCACCUUAAGA